AUUGAACGCUGGCGGCAUGCUUUACACAUGCAAGUCGAACGGUAACAGGCCGCAAGGUGCUGACGAGUGGCGAACGGGUGAGUAAUGCAUCGGAACGUGCCCAGUCGUGGGGGAUAACGCAGCGAAAGCUGCGCUAAUACCGCAUACGAUCUAUGGAUGAAAGCGGGGGACCGUAAGGCCUCGCGCGAUUGGAGCGGCCGAUGUCAGAUUAGGUAGUUGGUGGGGUAAAGGCUCACCAAGCCAACGAUCUGUAGCUGGUCUGAGAGGACGACCAGCCACACUGGGACUGAGACACGGCCCAGACUCCUACGGGAGGCAGCAGUGGGGAAUUUUGGACAAUGGGCGCAAGCCUGAUCCAGCAAUGCCGCGUGCAGGAAGAAGGCCUUCGGGUUGUAAACUGCUUUUGUACGGAACGAAACGGUCCUGGUUAAUACCCGGGGCUAAUGACGGUACCGUAAGAAUAAGCACCGGCUAACUACGUGCCAGCCGCCGCCGUAAUAC
rnacentral:rRNA from 1 species